rnacentral:lncRNA from 1 species
UGGCAUCUUUAAGAACUCCCUCGAUCGUCCGAGCUCCCAUAAUACCAUCUAAACUUCUCUGACAAUGAGCUUCCUCAUCCAUCUACCAGACUGCUCCAAACACCCUCCGAACUCCGCUAUCAGUCGAUUUUCCAUGGUGAUCGAUUAUCCUCCGAAUCUCUUCCAAACUUCUUCCGGCCACAGAUGACUCUACUCCGAGCUUCGUUCGAACUUCGUCAGCAUCCGAGCUUCUCUGACAAUGAGAUUUCUACAGUAAUCAGAUUCCAUCCAAGUUUCUACGACGGUCGACCACCUUCUAGAUUCCAUCCGAGCUCCUACGAGAAUCGGAUUCCAGCCGAACUCCCACUAUGGAGGGAUCCCAAACGAAUGUCGAUAAUGGAAGGGCUUCGCC